UGCAUGUAACAUGGGUUCUGCACUUAUCAGC
rnacentral:piRNA from 1 species